UACGUAGGGUGCGAGCGUUGUCCGGAUUUAUUGGGCGUAAAGGGCUCGUAGGCGGCGUGUCGCGUCGGGAGUGAAAGCCCGUUGCUUAACGGCGGGUUGGCUUUCGGUACGGGCAUGCUGGAGUGCGGCAGGGGAGACUGGAAUUCCUGGUGUAGCGGUGGAAUGCGCAGAUAUCAGGAGGAACACCGGUGGCGAAGGCGGGUCUCUGGGCCGUACCUGACGCUGAGGCGCGAAAGCCAGGGGAGCGAACGGA
rnacentral:rRNA from 1 species